rnacentral:rRNA from 1 species
CGGGGGGCAGCAGUGGGGAAUAUUGGACAAUGGGGGCAACCCUGAUCCAGCCAUGCCGCGUGAGUGAAGAAGGCCUUCGGGUUGUAAAGCUCUUUCGACGGGGACGAUGAUGACGGUACCCGUAUAAGAAGCCCCGGCUAACUUCGUGCCAGCAGCCGCGGUAAUACGAAGGGGGCUAGCGUUGUUCGGAAUUACUGGGCGUAAAGCGCGCGUAGGCGGUAGUCCAUGUCAGAGGUGAAAUCCCGGAGCUCAACUCCGGAACUGCCUUUGAAACGGGACUGCUAGAGUCCGAGAGAGGAUGGCGGAAUUCCUAGUGUAGAGGUGAAAUUCGUAGAUAUUAGGAAGAACACCGGUGGCGAAGGCGGCCAUCUGGCUCGGUACUGACGCUCAGGCGCGAAAGCGUGGGGAUCAAACAGGAUUAGAUACCCCGGU